UACGUAGGGGGCAAGCGUUGUCCGGAAUCAUUGGGCGUAAAGAGCGUGUAGGCGGCUUGGUAAGUCCGCUGUGAAAGUCCAGGGCUCAACCCUGGAAUGCCGGUGGAAACUGUCAAGCUUGAGUCCGGAAGAGGCGAGUGGAAUUCCUGGUGUAGCGGUGAAAUGCGCAGAUAUCAGAGGAACACCAAUGGCGAAAGCGGCUCACUGGACCAUUACUGACGCUGAUGCACGAAAGCUAGGGGAGCAAACAGG
rnacentral:rRNA from 1 species